AGUGAACGCUGGCGGUAGGCCUAACACAUGCAAGUCGAACGGCAGCACAGUAAGAGCUUGCUCUUACGGGUGGCGAGUGGCGGACGGGUGAGGAAUACAUCGGAAUCUACUUUUUCGUGGGGGAUAACGUAGGGAAACUUACGCUAAUACCGCAUACGACCUACGGGUGAAAGCAGGGGAUCUUCGGACCUUGCGCGAUUGAAUGGGCCGAUGUCGGAUUAGCUAGUUGGCGGGGUAAAGGCCCACCAAGGCGACGAUCCGUAGCUGGUCUGAGAGGAUGAUCAGCCACACUGGAACUGAGACACGGUCCAGACUCCUACGGGAGGCAGCAGUGGGGAAUAUUGGACAAUGGGCGCAAGCCUGAUCCGGCCAUACCGCGUGGGUGAAGAAGGCCUUCGGGUUGUAAAGCCCUUUUGUUGGGAAAGAAAAGCAGCAGGUUAAUACCCCGCUGUUCUGACGGUACCCAAAGAAUAAGCACCGGCUAACUUCGUG
rnacentral:rRNA from 1 species